rnacentral:lncRNA from 1 species
CUUGAGUCUACCUCUUACAACCUCUUGUCAAAGCCACAGUCACAUUCUCAAGUCUCUUGAAUUCUUGCAGUCUGGCAGACACUUCUCUUGAAGAACCUUCACGCUUCUUACCCAGCUUCAGCUUGCAUCAACUCUACAAGUCCAGUGCCUCAUGACAACUACAGGACUCAAUCGGUCCAGUUGAAACUUUGAACUCAGACACCUGGUUGAAGGCACCAAUCCUGAAAAAUAGUUUUGUGAGGUGCCGUCUGCAUUCUGAAGAUUCUGAAGCCCAGGGCGCUCACAGGGAGCCAGAUGCUAUGUGACCGCUGGCUCCCACUCCUGCUGCCGUGCAUUAUCCACUGUGAUGGACUACAUCAUCAAAACCUGAGUCAAAAU